CCUUCUCCAUGUGAAUGCAGUAACAAUAUCCCCAGGUGUCCCAGUGUAGCUGCAUCUCAGUGUCAGAGUCUGCUGGUUGGGUAUCCCUGUACCUCCUGACCCUGAUACACUCACUGCUCCCUCAACACCUGGAAAUAAGUAACAAUAUCACCAGGUGUCACAGUGUCACAGUGUAGCUGCAUCUCAGUGUCAGAGCCUGCUUGGGGGUAUCCCUGUACCUCCUGACCCUGAUACAGUCACUGUUCUCCCA